UAAAGGCUCCUUACCCCCUCUCCUGUGCUUGCAAUGUAUAUUUCCUCCACUUUUCCCACACUCAGAGUCACUUCAAGCACUUAGCCUUAAGUGAGUAACGUCCUGUUGAGACAGACCCUCUGGGCUGUAUAUAUAAUCGAACCCUGUUAAGGCCUCUGUUGAAACUCUAUUUAGAGUCUGGCAGGUGAGUUCCCAGACCUCAUCUCCAGCCGCCCAAGACAAACUUUCUAAAUCCCUGGCUUAUUAUAUAAAACCCGCCACCUUCCAAUCCGGAGUGGACGGCCUCCUUCCUCCACCUCUCUUUGCUAUUUGAGUUCGGAGGCCAGUUUCGGACUUCACCCGGGACACUCCUUAAGUUUAGAAUCCACAGGCAGGAAGUAGACUGUUGGGAAGAACCAGUAUCGCAGCACUUCUGAGAAUUACAGAAUCAGGCUGCGGAGAAGUCCACUCCACUCGCUUCUCAAAAGACGCCGGCUCUCUGGUGGGAUCUCGCGGGAUUUCAGAUUUCAACGGAAGCCAGUCGGGGAAUUCUGGGAUGAGACACACCAGGGUGCCCCGGUGCUAGAAGCUUCUUAUGCCAAGUUUGUCAGUAAGGAAUCUGCCCCCUAGCACCUCUUCCGCCAACUUCAGUACUCCUGGACACCUAAAGCCGCCCCGCCCAGUCAGUGCAGUGGAGUCUAUGCCAGGCCUCGCCAGAUUACAUUAUUGUGUUUGUAGCAGAGAAAAGCUAUUUUCCCUCUACCCAUCUUAAGUUUAUUUGGUGGAGCCCUGAGAAUUGAAAAAGAUCAACAAAAGAGAGAAAAAAACAACCAAACAGAUGUUUAUUAACAUGUGCAUUUUCCUGCACAUGGCAUUACCCAGUUGUGAGUAACUCUUAGCGGUGGUCAGAACUUUGGGAUAUAGAGCAUCUCAACAAUGAGACAAAAGAGAAAUUUUCAUAGAAAAGUCAUCAUAAUUCCAGGAAAGUUGAAGUAUAUGUGCUACUGAAGCGAGCACCACUUCGAAUUUCUAUGUGACUGUGAUCAAUCCUGUGAUCUACUCUGGAUAUUAGCAACUGUCUUCUUCAUGGCUUGUAAGACAAGAGUUGGCAAACUCUCCAAGAGGAACAGCAGGAUGCCAAA